UCCUCUUUACAGAGGCAGUUCGUUCCGAGUCCCCGACAUUACUCGCUGGUAACAGAACGUGAGGGUUGCGCUCGUUGCGGGACUUAACCCAACAUUUCACAACACGAGCUGACGACAGCCAUGCACCACCUGUGAAUCACCUUCGAAAGCGACCGCUUUUCGGCGGCUUGCAGAUCCAUGUCAAGCCCUGGUAAGGUUCUUCGCGUUGCAUCGAAUUAAGCCAUAUGCUCCACCGCUUGUGCGGGCCCCCGCCAAUUCCUUUGAGUUUCAACCUUGCGGCCGUAGUCCCCAGGCGGAUCACUUAAUGCGUUAGCUGCGGCACCGAAGGUUACCCCCCGACACCUAGUGAUCAUCGUUUAUGGCCAAGACUAC
rnacentral:misc_RNA from 1 species